CUGUGAUCAUUGGCUUAUCGAUAGAGCCAACCAUGACUACACAGGAUGGUCAAAUAACUGCAAACUGCUUCUUCUCACCAUUGCAGGUGACCACAUUCACAUUAGGAUCAUUCUGUUGGCAUCUCUUACGCUGCACAUGCUGGGUUGUCAUCCCUAACAUGACAUAAGAAAUGUGGUUGUACUUAUGGUCAUGGCACUUAUAAAAUAUGAAAUAAAAGUUACAGGUAUCGUUGUAGCAUUUCACCUAGGAAAGUUUUAGGUAUCGUUAUUUAUAAUUCUACCACUAGGAGCUUCUGAACAGGGUUAAAGAGAAAAUUGAUAUGGCUAUAAGAAUUACAAAUACAUACUCUAGAUAUGAAUCAAUUAACCACUUCUAUCUUAAAUAGGGAUAAGGCAAAUGAUAAUGAGAUAAUGAUAAGGAAUCCAUAAUUAGAGAGAACUUGUAGGAUCAAGUAGGAUACAGAAUAAAGCGACAUAGUUAGAGAUUUAAUUCCUAGGGUUAUGUCCUAUCUAGCAUGUCUUAGGGUUUUCAAAUCUACUCCUUAUCAUCUAUAGCAUAAUCAAUCUUCCAUCCAAACAUAACGAACAUUACUUUAGAAAAUUCAAGAAUAGAGCAAUUCUUCCCCCCAAGUAACCGAGUUCUACUUGUCCUAGAUUCGAGGAGUGGACUACAUAGGACUCAACAAAACUAUAAAAGUCACCAUCGCAAUUUACCACAUGGCCAGGAAAAUAGGGUGCAUUCGUAGGUAAAUAUAAUAUAGAUACCAUGUCUACAUUACUUCUAUCACCUAAUUCAAUCCGAAGUUUAACUAAGUGCUCUACGAACUUUUGCAUAAACUUCUUAUCAAUCAAGACUAUAUCAAAGAUAGGACUAGAAUAAACUAAGAACGAAGUAAAUAGGUACAUAAAAUAAUACUGAAAUAGCACAAAGUCAUAAUUAUAAGAUAUAGUGAUAGAAUUACCAAAUCUCCUGACGUAGAUCUAGAAUCUUAAGCCGCACUCAACUCUACUUGUAUCUAGCUAGAUCUAACCCUAAACUUAAAGUAGAGCUCUAAUCUUAUAAUUAGAAACCCUAGCUUUUCUCUCUAGCCUUCUGAACGAGAGAUCAACUGAGGAUGAGAUGAUUGAUGCCUUAGGGGGGUCUGCCUCUGCUUAUAUACCCCGGUGGGAUGAACUGCAGCCUUCAGAUCAAACUGACUUGAAACAAUGGUCGAGAUGCAUCGUAGAGAUCAGUUAGAGGUCAUCAUGCCAAGCUGGCUAGACUAUCAUGUGGGGCCGGCUUGCCCCACCUGAUAGCCAUUGAGCUCCCGUUUUGUUCUCAUGUCCAUUCGUGUCCUCUAAAAUCUUCCCAUCAAUUCUUGCAAAAUUAUGACUUCAUUUGGUUUGGUUCCUUGGCUUCUACUCUUCCCUGGCUUAUUUUGUUUUUAUCCUUGAAAAUUUGCAAUUCACCAAAGUUGUGGAAAUUAUCAUGUUAGUCCUUAAAACUCUUGCUUGGUGAUGGUUCCGGAGUAAUCUAGAGGAUUCUUGUGCGUAUCCAUUAGGGACACUCUCAUCGAGACUCCAAAUAUAGCAAAUGAUGUCUGUUUUGAUCGUCUUAAUGAGCUCUUCACAAUGGUGUGCUCUAUUUCAUCAUUUGAGAUACUUUUAUGUGGUGAAGUAUCAAUAAUCCU
rnacentral:lncRNA from 1 species